GUGCUUGCUUCAGCAGCACAUAUGCUAAAAUUAAAAAUAAUACAGAAAAUAUGAGCAUGGCUCCUGCACAUGAAUGACACGCAAAUUCAUGAAGCAUUUAAUUUUUUA